GCUGUUUCUGUGUCUGUAGCUUUAAAUGCAAUGAGCUGUGCCUGACCACGCCCCUCUCCGGAAGGGGCUGCCGUUCGGGCUUCUGGCACCGUGCUCUAAUGUUUACGGUGACCGUGACCGGCAACCUGGCGUCGGUAGCGAUUUGGUUCAACCACACAACUUUUAUCCAGAAUCUGAGCCAGAGGGAGAGGCUGCUGAAGAAGUUCAAACUCUACAACUGCAGCAGGACGUUUCUGAAUGGUGCUCCUGUGGAAACUGUGCAACCAUGCCCACAGAAGCUGAGAAUAUCUGCUGCUACCACAGGUAGCAUUCUCACUGGACAAACUAAUCACUAAUUUGUUUUGAUUACAUUACAUUUAUAAUCAACCAUAGAAUUUACCAUUUGCAAUUCACUGUAGGUUACCAGAUGGCUAUGGGAGAUCGUGGAAGAUUUACCAUGUAUGGUAGACCGUCCUGGGUUGGAGCCGCUCUGCCUCAAUGUGUUCUGCCUGCAACAUGUACCGCACUGACUAUGGUCCUUUACGGUUGAGAGGAAUACACCAGUACGUUUUGCUUCUUUGUUAAAACAUAGUUUCAAUCUAAAUAAAAGAUGUUAGACAGUCUUGUUUUA